UAGUCCACGCCCUAAACGAUGUUUACUCGAAGUAUGUGUUUGGCAUGUGCUUCCAAGGGAAACCGAUAAGUAAACCACCUGGGGAGUACGUCGGCAACGAUGAAACUCAAAGGAAUUGACGGGGGCCCGCACAAGCGGUGGAGCAUGUGGUUUAAUUCGAUGCAACGCGAAGAACCUUACCAGGGCUUAAAUGUAGUCUGACAGCUUUAGAGAUAGAGUUUUCUUCGGACAGAUUACAAGGUGCUGCAUGGUUGUCGUCAGCUCGUGCCGUGAGGUGUCAGGUUAAGUCCUAUAACGAGCGCAACCCCUGUUGUUAGUUACCAGCACAUUAUGGUGGGGACUCUAGCAAGACUGCCGGUGCAAACCGCGAGGAAGGUGGGGAUGACGUCAAAUCAUCACGGCCCUUACGUCCUGGGCCACACACGUGCUACAAUGGUAGGUACAGAGAGCAGCCACUUAGUGAUAAGGAGCGAAUCUAUAAAGCCUAUCUCAGUUCGGAUCGGAGUCUGCAAC
rnacentral:rRNA from 1 species